rnacentral:misc_RNA from 1 species
CAUUAAUGAAAAUGUUGCAUAUUAAGUUGUGAAACAAUAGAGAAUUAUCGUACAUUUAAUCUGUCCUGCCUGUUAUUUGGUAGAAAAGCAAAGGGUUAAUUUAUGCAGAAUAAAUAAUAAAUAUUUUAUUGAAAGAUAUCUGACCGUGGAACAUUUGUUUUUGUGUGAAAAAAGGAUGCAAAAAUGAAUAAAAAAGGAUGUAUUUUAUUUUUACGCAAUUGUUAUUAUUUUAUUCAUUUGUUUUUCGUUUGAACAUGUGUCAAUGUUUCACUUUUCAGAAUAUAAUGACAUGUCAAGUGAUAGUAAUAGUGGGGAUGAUUGGGAGGAAAACAGUGAAGAUCACAUUUUGUGCCUGUUUUGUACGGAAAUUGUUAAUGGAUUUCCCUCCGCACUGCAUCAUAUUGAGACCCUUCACAAGUUCGAUCUCUGCGAUUUUAUAAGGAAACAUAUUCAUGAUACUUACUCAUACAUCAAACUAAUCAAUUUUGUUCGUCACAAGGAGAUUUUACCGGAACAACUCAGCACGCUGGGCAUAGAGAUUUGGGACAAAGAUGAGUAUUUACAUCCCGUAGUAGAGGAUGAUCCAUGGUUAAUGUAUGACAUCGAAGAUCUUAUUAACAUCAAAGACGUGGGUGAAGAAAAGGAAGGAAGACAAAUGUAUGAAAGCAAUAAUGUAAUUUUAUCACAGACAGAGUAUGAAGAUAUGAAAAGAACUAUCAGGUUGCUCAAAUCUCAGCUGAAAGAAAGUGAAACAACGUGUUUUCUAGUGAAGCAGCAAAUGGAAGAGAUGAAAGAGAAAGCUCAGAAAUUAAUAUUGGGUGAUGAUUUGGAUGAAAAGGAGAAGAAUCCUCAUAAUUCUAACGCCGACGAAGGCUAUUUCAAUACAUACAGUCACUUUGCUAUACAUCAUGAAAUGUUGACAGAUAAAGUACGAACGGAAAGCUAUCGUGACGCACUAUUAACAAAUUCUAACAAAUUUCACUAUUGUGUAAUGUUGGAUGUUGGUUGUGGGACUGGUAUUCUAUCUAUGUUUGCGGCAAAGUCUGGCUGCCGUAAAGUUAUCAGUGUCGAUCAAUCUGAUAUGAUAUAUCAAGCUAUGGAUAUAGUAAGGGAAAACAACCUGAACGAUAUAAUCACUUUGAAAAAGGGUCGUUUGGAAGAUAUUAACAUAGGACUGGAAAAAGUGGAUGCAAUAAUAUCUGAAUGGAUGGGAUAUUUCCUCUUAUUUGAAGGAAUGCUGGACACAGUUAUUUAUGCUAGAGAUCGUUAUCUGACACCUGGUGGAGUAAUUCUUCCAAACAGAUGCACAAUCAGUAUUGUGGGAAGUGGUGACACAAAGAGGUAUCUCGAGCUGGUUGAUUAUUGGUCAAACGUAUAUGGUUUUAAAAUGAGCUGUAUGAAAAAGCAAGUGUUACGUGAGCCCAGUAUAGAGAUCUGUAAUGUUGAUGAUCUGAUAACAAGCACCGCCGAGAUCCAAGCCUUCGACUUGUAUAAAGUCACUAAAGGCUGUGUAAAUUUUACGUCGCCUUUCACGUUGAACGUGAAAAAAACGGGAUCGUUAACCGCGAUAAUCGGUUAUUUCGACAUUUUCUUUGAUCUGGAGAAUCCGGUUCAUUUUAGUACAGGUCCCCAUUCUACAUCAACACAUUGGAAACAGACAGUAUUUUCUUUAAGCGAGCCCAUUAGUAUAACUGAAGGUGAAGUUAUAAACGGCAUGUUGAAAUGCCAAAGGCACGAUAAAGAUGACCGAGGUUUAAUGGUCGUUAUUCAUAUCAAAAAUUUUUGUCAGACGUAUUUUUUGGAUUAAACUUGCUUAUUCCAAGUAACGAGCUAAUGAUAGUCGCAUGUGCCAAAUUUUGGGAAUAGGGUCCAGCUGUCACGUAACAAAGCUUCGAUUUUCGUAAAAUGUUCCUUUCCCGAAUAACAUAUCGCUCUUAAGCUCUAUCUCAAUUACUAUUUCCAAUUAGAAAUCUACAGAUUUUAUAAUGUCCGUUUACUUAAACGGAAGAUCUAACUUAGGCGUUUUGGAAAUUUAGGUCAUUCAUUUUUAUGCUAGAACCAUACAUAUAUUAUCAUAUUAAUAUAAAAUACUUUUUCUCUUUCGCAAGCGAGAUAUAGGAUACAGUGCUUUUCUCUUGAAUAUUUGUGCUGAUUACAUUAUGCUGACCGCGCGAGAGUGUAAUGCCAGAGAAGAACGAAAAAAAUAAAAAUUUAUGAAAAGAGAGCAAUGAAAUGAAAUGAAAUGAAAUUCGUAAGAGCUUUAUAGACACAGACAACGAUGCGUAGAUUCGCCUGAUUCAAUUUUUUAUAUAGAAUUCUAAGAAAUACUUGGCGAUCUACUUGACGAAGACUUCGUCAAAGAAGUUUUUGCUGCUUACGCUAGAAUUUUUCUCUAAACUUGAAUUCGUUGAAAUCUAUUGUUGGCGAUGUGAUGCCGUCGAUGGAUGUGACGUUUCGAUUGUCCGAUAUUAAUAUUACGCGAAUUUCCUGCCACUUUUCGUGCGUAUGAUGCAUACAAGAAUUACGCACCGUAUUAUCGAACAAUCGUUCUCGCCACCGAAUUGAAAUAGCAAUCAAACGACUAAUGCGAUUCUGUGAUACGACAAAAAAGAUAGCUAUAGUGUUCAUCGAGAGAACGUUGUACCGGUGAUAUAUUCUCCGCAGUUAUUUGCAGUACACAAGGACAAAGUACCUAUACUGCGCUAUUGUAUAAGUACGUAUAAUUUGCUGAAAUAGCUGAAUUUUGAUCCGAUUUGACCUGCAUGCAAUUGCUAAAUAAUUAUAACAUCGAUGAUCUUUUGAAAUAUAUGAAAAUGGAAAUAAAUCUUUAGAGUAUUACAGACUUCUAAA